rnacentral:lncRNA from 1 species
AACCAGACCUCGAGCAAGGUGCAAGACGGUCGAAACAACAACAUCCUGACCCAUACAUGCCCUCGAGGCUGCAGCAGCUAAGCUCGCCUGCCCAGAUGGCACCCAGAACCCCUCCUCUGUCCCCUGAUGGGCCCCGUCUCACCCCUAAAACAUCAGAUGCAGAAAGAGCUCUGGUCCCUGUUUCCAGCUGAUUUGCUGUGUGACCUUGAGCAAAUCACACAUUCUCUGUGCCUCAGUUUUCUGCAUCUGUGGAAGGGGUUAAACAGAUCUCUGUCCCGUCUCCAGUCAUGCAUUUGUGAGAAUCUGGUUGGACUGCAAAUAUGUAAACUCCUGGGCAUUGAUCUAGUGUUUAUACAUGUAAAAUGUCUCAAUAUUUGAAGCAUCCUCCCUAGCCCCCUAAACAAUUUAAACCAUGAAAACAUUGCAGUUUGGCCCAUUCUAGCUUGUUUGAUGGUAUUUCCAACAUAAAUAGCUGACAUGUUUGCCCUUCCUGUGAGACUCCCAGGUCCUAAAAUAACCAGGAAGAGUCAUCCACAGACUUCCUGGCCAUCUGGAAUGGUGCAGCCUAAAUACCAAACCCAGGGGUUCCUGCUGCAGACAUGCUUUUCCCUGACUCAUGGAAAGCUGCUCCCACCUUCGGGUUUCAGCCAUCACCAGCUCUCACAGUAUCCCCACAUCCCUGUGCUGGAUGGCACGCAGGUGCCUCUGGCCAUUCCCCUUCCCACUGAAUGUCAUGAGGUCCCAGGGAAGACUCAUCCUGCAGCAGAACCUCCAUCCCCACCAUCCUUCCAGGUUUUCCUUCCCAGGAAGAAUUUAAAAUAGUCCAGCCUGUCA